ensembl:lncRNA
AUGAGCUCGCUGCCUGUUCCCAACAAACUGAAGAAACGGAAAGACGUGGACAAAGGGAAGCACGUUCGAUAUGCAGAGAUGCCUCUGCCGUGCAAGUCGCUCUUCAGCGCACCGGAUACGCAGCCUGUUGACGCUACAAAGAGUCCCGGAAGACCACAAGUGCUUGUUCCUGACACAUGUGUACUGGACUCAUCCCAAGUCUUGAACGACGUAAAUCCGAACCAGGAAGAAGCGAUAGCAGAAACCUGCGGCCUUGAACUCCGUGACAAGCCUCACGUGAAAACUGCAGGCCAGCAAAGAAGUGUAAAGUCUUCCUGGAAGCACGACUUUUGUUUAAAACCAUACCACUUAUCCCCUCCCCCUUCGGCGCUGUCCCACAGUGCAGCCACGCCCACAGAAAAGUCCCCAUCGCUUCUCCACAGCGUCAAAAGGUUCUCAGAGGAUGGAUCCAACAACAAAGCAAAACGGAAGAAGGAGGAAAGUGAACCAGAGAUGCAAGAGGAUGACAAACCGGGGGUCCGGGGAGGGGCGGACAAACCGAACGAAGGCCGAAAAAUGCAACCAGAACUGCUGAAACGAAGCUCCACACCUUCAGCCAGUCCACUUUCGAAGGAGUGCCUGGUGAACGGCAGGGAUCAGUCUGCACAAAACCGGAGUCUGAGCCAAAGGCCAAAUGUCUGUCCUGUUUUCAAGAAGCCAAAUGUGAAGGCAAAAUCCAUCGAGUGCUUUUUUAGGAGCAAGGCGAAUCCCCAGGAGGAUCCGAAUGGCUCAUGUGAGCAACAGAAAGGAAAAGAUGCUGGAUGGAGGCCCAAAGUGGAGCCCGCGUGGAGUAUUGACCCGGCGCUUGGCCCGUCCAUGUACGACAGCGAGUGGAGAGGCGACGAGGUAACGUCACAUGACCUGAUCUCACCCGGCGUCAUUGUGCUCAACUCAAAUGCGCCAUCUUUUAAAUAUUUUUAUUGUUGCUAACCCUGAGAAACAUAAUCUAAUUUUCUAUGUCUGACCUAAAUAGUUUUUUCUCCUAACAAAAUACUUUUUUUUAACCUGGCAAAUAAAGAGCCAGUAAAAGUGUCCAUGGCCACUGUUUCUUUUCACUGGUAUUUUAUGUGGUCCAAAUAUGUCUUGAUUUAAGAUGAAGGAAGAAGAAGAAGA